rnacentral:rRNA from 1 species
UACAGAGGUCUCAAGCGUUGUUCGGAUUCAUUGGGCGUAAAGGGUGCGUAGGCGGCGCGGUAAGUCGGGUGUGAAAUCUUGGAGCUUAACUCCGAAACUGCAUUCGAUACUGCCAUGCUUGAGGACUGGAGAGGAGACUGGAAUUUACGGUGUAGCGGUGAAAUGCGUAGAUAUCGUAAGGAAGACCAGUGGCGAAGGCGGGUCUCUGGACAGUUCCUGACACUGAGACACGAAGGCCAGGGGAGCAAACGGG